UACAGAGGUGGCAAGCGUUGUUCGGAAUUACUGGGCGUAAAGGGCGCGUAGGCGGCCUUCUAAGUCAGACGUGAAAUCCCCCGGCUUAACCUGGGAACUGCGUCUGAUACUGGGAGGCUAGAGUAUGGGAGAGGGAUGUAGAAUUCCAGGUGUAGCGGUGAAAUGCGUAGAUAUCUGGAGGAAUACCGGUGGCGAAGGCGGCAUCCUGGACCAUUACUGACGCUGAGGCGCGAAAGCUAGGGGAGCAAACGGGG
rnacentral:rRNA from 1 species